AUUGAACGCUGGCGGCAGGCCUAACACAUGCAAGUCGAACGGUAACAGGAAGAAGCUUGCUUCUUUGCUGACGAGUGGCGGACGGGUGAGUAAUGUCUGGGAAACUGCCUGAUGGAGGGGGAUAACUACUGGAAACGGUAGCUAAUACCGCAUAACGUCGCAAGACCAAAAAGGGGGACCUUCGGGCCUCUUGCCAUCGGAUGUGCCCAGAUGGGAUUAGCUAGUAGGUGGGGUAACGGCUCACCUAGGCGACGAUCCCUAGCUGGUCUGAGAGGAUGACCAGCCACACUGGAACUGAGACACGGUCCAGACUCCUACGGGAGGCAGCAGUGGGGAAUAUUGCACAAUGGGCGCAAGCCUGAUGCAGCCAUGCCGCGUGUAUGAAGAAGGCCUUCGGGUUGUAAAGUACUUUCAGCGGGGAGGAAGGGAGUAAAGUUAGUACCUUUGCUCAUUGACGUUACCCGCAGAAGAAGCACCGGCUAACUCCGUG
rnacentral:rRNA from 1 species